CCUACGGGGGGCAGCAGUAGGGAAUUUUCGGCAAUGGGGGGAACCCUGACCGAGCAACGCCGCGUGAACGAAGAAGUUAUUCGUAAUGUAAAGUUCUUUUAACAGGGAAGAAAGAGAAAUUUGACGGUACCUGAAGAAUAAGCUCCGGCUAACUACGUGCCAGCAGCCGCGGUAAUACGUAGGGAGCGAGGAUUAUCCGGAAUUAUUGGGCGAAAAGGGUGCGUAGAUGGAAUAGUAAGUCUUUUGUAAAAAUGCUGGGCCCAACCCAGUAGGGCAAAAGAUACUGCAAAGCUAGAGUAUGACAGAGGGUAGUGGAACUACAGGUGUAGCGGUAAAAUGCGUAAAUAUAUGUAAGAACACCAGUGGCGAAGGCGGCUUGCUGGGUCGAUACUGACAUUGAGGCGCGAAAGCGUGGGGAGCAAACAGGAUUAGAUACCCCUGUAGUC
rnacentral:rRNA from 1 species